GAUGAAGAACGUAGCGAAAUGCGAUAAGUAAUGUGAAUUGCAGAAUUCAGUGAAUCAUCGAAUCUUUGAACGCAUAUUGCGCUCUCUGGUAUUCCGGAGAGCAUGCUUGUUUGAGUAUCAGUAAACACCUCAACUUCCAUAUCUUUUUUGAAAUGGGAGUUGGACUUGAGUGAUCCCAACGCUUUUCCUCACCGAAAAGUGGCGGGUUACUUGAAAUGCAGGUGCAGCUGGACUUUUCUCUGAGCUAUAAGCAUAUCUAUUUAGUCUGCCUAAAAACAGAUUAUUACCUUUGCUGCAGCUAACAUAAAGGAGAUUAGUUCUUGUGCUGACUGAUGCAGGAUUCACAAAGACAGGCUUCGGCCGACUUUGUAAACUCGAUCUCAAAUCAAGUAAGACUACCCGCUGAACUUAAGCAUAUCAAUAAGCGGAGGA
rnacentral:misc_RNA from 1 species